UAAAAAGCAUUGAUUGGGAAGAGUACGAUUGUAGUCAACUUCAAGAGAGGGAAAUUGUUUGCUGAAAUAUUUCCUAAGUUUGACAGAUUGGAAGGUCGCCCAUGAGCAGCUUCAGUGAAACAUUGUAGUAAUUGAAGCCGGUGAAAAGCCGUUAUUCGUUUUAAGUGCCAGACAUUUAUUUUUUUAUGAAUGUCUGUGAAAAAAGGUGGUACCGCGAAUCCGCUCCCUUCGUCCUUUUG
rnacentral:ncRNA from 1 species